CAGUGUUUAAAAGGUGAGACGAGGCGUUCAGGGGACUACUGGAUCCACCUAGAUGCCUAGGCGAUCGAGAAGGCGCUACUGUUUUCCAUGUGGAAUUAUCCAGGUAAUAAACACAAGCCGAAGAAUGCACAGUAUGCAGAAGUUUGCGGAUGUCAGGUGGCACUUUGUAAGAAACAAGAAUCCAUUAUGCAUUGCAGGGCUAUGGAAUGAGUUGAAAACAGGAACCCCACACAGCAUCAACCAGAAGAGACGCAUUUCAGGCAUUAAAAUAGCCCCAGAGAACAGGUCAUUGGAAGGUCAGAAAUGGUACCAAUCCGUUUUUUUUUGUCUGCCGAUAUUUCUGUCAGAGUCGGGCUUUGUUUGUGAUCAGUUUCAGAUCAUUGUGUCGAUCAGAACCUUAAGCAGGCAGUCCAUUUGCCGCCUAAUCACAGAUAGCACAAGAUUAACAUUGCAUAUAAAAGUUCUUGACAACAUGGUCAAUUCAUUCCUGGUGACAUGGCCAUCCAACAGAAGAAAAAAAAUUGAUAUUGCUGAUCAACGAAACAGUUCUGGACCCAGAUUGGUCAGGGAAUCAGUUGGUUUGUUUAUUCUACACCUGGAAGGGCAUCGAAGAAAAUCUCUCUUUAUUUCUCACCAGAAUCUUCAGUUGUCAGAAGGCCAGCUAAAGAAGGGCAAAGCUUCAGAUGCAUACGCGCAUAAACUAAAAGUAAAUCAUGUUCCUGUUUUUGUACAGGAGAAGGGAUCUGAUUGGGCAGUGGACCUGGCUACCUAGAUUUUCUUGAAAUUUAAGAAGCCUCAGUAUCGUGUAUUUACAUGUUCUUUUUCCAGUACGAUAGAUUUACUUUUCCGUAAAGUGGCGUAAACCGUAAGUAUUUUUUCCUCCCAACAGUCCUCUCCUAACGACUAACAAAGUUCAAUUCAUGCG
rnacentral:lncRNA from 1 species